UUUAUAUUAUGGCUGAGCCAUCUCGUAGUAUGGAAGAGAGACCCAGUACUCUUUUACAGUUACCGGAACACAUCAUACAGAAUGUGCUGUCAUAUCUCAGUUACCAUGAAAUAAGUGAAGCUCGUCGGGUGUGCCAGUACUUCAACCGCUGCUGUCAGGAAUUACUUACACAGGGCUUCAACCACAUCGACAAGUUUCAUGCACAGAUACAGAAGGAGGUGAAGUCCAAGUUGCCACGCCGGGAGUCGGAGCGACGGAACCACGAACUGUCCCGCCAUGUGGACAUCCUCUCAGCAGUGGAGACCAGGUUGUCGCUGCUGUCCAUGACCUACUCCAAGUACAUAGACCAUGGUCUCUGUUGCUUCAUCCCGGGCAAGGUUUUGGAUGAGCUGUUCACACUCCUCAAGAAGUUGCAGGAGAAGAAGUCACAGCCUCCCAGAGCUCAUGAGUUCUUGCAGGAGCUCCGUGACAUCUCCUCCAUGGCUAUGGAACACUUUGAAGAACACAUCAUCCCAGCACUCAAACAACAGCUGCCUGCAGGCUCUCUCUCACUUGCCCUGCCAGAUCCAUUCUCUCCAGACCAAGGCUCCUCAUCCUCCAUGGUCCACUUCUCAACGCCCAUGCGUAUGCCGUCAUUGCGGCAGGAGCUCCUGCGUCUGCAGCAUCAGAUGCGUGUGCAAAGUGGUAGUGUGCUGUCAUACAAGAAGGAGCUGACAGAACAGAAGAACAAGAUGGUAGAGCAGCGGAAGAUCAACAUGGAGCAGGAGAAGAAACUGCAGGAACAGGAUCGCAAACUGCAGGAACAGACUCGAAUCAUAUCUGAGCAGAACAUCCGCAUUGAUAGACUUGAGAACUCCAUCAGUGACUUGGACAACAGACUUGCCACAAUGUACAACCAAGUGAGUGGUGGCAGUGCUAACAUGGACAGCAAUGUGAAGAGUGACCAGCCUCAUGGUCCCACACACAGGACCAACAGGAGAAAGUGUGGGAAGUCAAACCAGGAGGUACAGAUGACGACAAUCAAAACCCGCCCGAAGAGGAAGCAAGCAUGUGAACUUAAUGAAGAGGACUGUGGAAGAGGCAAAGUCAAAAGCCUGAAGAGAAAGAAAUAUUGACAACUGUGAUAAAGUGGGAAGGAAGUGAAAAGAGUGAAACAAUAAAUCUGGAUAUGCAAGACUGUACUAUGUGACAUAAUACAUACAGGUUGAUCUUGGUUUUAUUAAACUUGCAACUAGUAAACAAGCAAAAUCUGAUUUUAAGAAAUUCAUUUAUAAUGGUCUUUCAAAGAAACAGGUGAAAAUUGUGUCAUUUGUGUAUGAGACAAUGAAGUGAAGAUGUCAUGGAGCUGUCUCCCAGUGCAUGUAUUGUUUCAUCUGGAGUUGAGAGUGUUGCUGUUGCCUAUUUAGCACAUAGGCGGAUCCAGAGGGGGGGUGCAGGGGUGCGCACCCCCCUUUUGUGCUGAAUGUUUGUUAAAUGACCAUUGAAACUCGGGUGAAAAUAAAGUGUGCACCCCUCCUUUUCUCAAUAGUGUCACCCCCCCUUUCUCAAAAAGCUGUAUCCGCCCCUGUAGCAUAUGAGGUGUUAGUGUAUAGAGGCAAAGGUGAAGCCUCACAGGCCGAGUGUGAGCUUCACAGGUUGAGUGUGAACCUCACAGGUCAAGUGUGAGCCUCACAGGUCGAGUGUGAGCUUCACAGGUUGAGUGUGAGCCUCACAGGCCGAGUGUGAGCCUCACAGGUCGAGUGUGAGCCUCACAGGCCGAGUGUGAGCUUCACAGGCCGAGUGUGAGCCUCACAGGCCGAGUGUGAACCUCACAGGCCGAGUGUGAGCCUCACAGGUCGAGUGUGAGCCUCACAGGCCGAGUUGUGAGCCUCACAGGUCGAGUGUGAGCCUCACAGGCCAUCUUAUGCAAAGAAAGUAAUUCCAUACACAACUAAAUGUAGUAUCAUAAUGUGUCACAGUCACCAAACAUUCUGUCGUGAUGUAAUUAUCAGGGAGACACCCCCUCAAGUCUACUUCAUGUAACUUCAGUUGAUUCAAUUGAUAAAGAAUAAAUGGAACUUGAGUGAAGUGUCUGUUAGUUUAGGGCAAAUCUGUUUAUACUGUAAGAUUAAAGAUCGGGCAGAGUACUAGUUUGCUUCAUGAUGUUUACAGACAUUGUCUACUAGUACGAAGUAUUUCUCAUCAUCCAUUACUAUCCAAGUUGUAACUGAUGAGACAGUGGAAGAAGGUGAUUUCAACCUUCAGAUUGUAUGCAUGGACAGUGAUUCGGUGACUAUUGAAGGGACAGAAUGUUGACAGUUCUGUAUUUUUAAAUCAGAAAUGAAUUUUCUCCAGAUUUAGUUCUCAGACCAAAACACCAGUGCCCAAACAGCACAGCCAACAUCAUUACAUAGAGUAAACUGGCUUCAGACUGGAUUUUUUAUUAGAAUAUUAAAUAUUGUGUUUUUCUGAGGGAUGAGUUAUAAAAUACUCAUUGUCAACUUGAUUAUAUUUGAAGCCAGUAACUCUUGUAACCAAAGUAUCUAUCGCAGAGCACAUCUUACAGUUCACAGUCCUUCAAUGUGCUUUUCAUAAAUUUCAUUUUGGGCAAGUUUUGAUGAAUAUAUACGCUAUGAAACGUUUCAUUGAGAAAAUAUCCUUAUACGUGAAAAACUAUUUCCAUUUGUGUAGUUAUCCUCCACAUACUGUCAUCAAACCCCGUCAGAGAGCUUGCAGUGUGGUCACUUAUAUAUGUAAAGGUAUAUUGCCACGCACCUCACUGUCACAGAUGUAGCAGCCAAUCAAUAGAAUUAUGCAAAACAAUAUAUAAAGCACACCAGAAGGCUUAUAUAAUUCUCAUCUGUUCUUAUUUCAACAUAAGUGCAUGUUUCAAAUCACGGCUUACAACCAUGUUUGUGUUACUGGAGCAGAAUAUGGCGAGCAGAGAGUUUAGGCAGCUCGGGGGUUAUCAGCUAUUGCUUUCAAGCAUUUCUCCAGAACGGUUUACACACCCUUUACAUGUGGUAGAGAUAGUUUACAAAAGUGUAACAGUCCCAUCGAGACACAUGAUGGGACUCCUGUAACAUAUCUUUGUCAUACAAUGACUCUUCCCUUGGAGUACAGGUCAGCUCCACAGUCGAGGGCAGUUGGGUGUAUGAAGAACCUGAAUGUUUGAAUAGACCUCCUUUCCAGGGUUUACUUGUCCAUUUGUGGUUUGCAGGACAUAUAUUUAUCUAGUAUUUAUGCGUGUUAAUCAUUGUUAGAAGGGCCAGGAAGUUUUAGAUGUUUGUUUGCUUUGUUGUGAAACAUGCUAUCCCAUCCUCAUGGUUUUGUGAGUGUAAUCACACGAAGUGAUGUCUGCCUGCUGCCAUGGAGUGGGUCAUACACAGGUGUUCAGACCUAUUUUCACAAACCCUUUCGUCAAGUUUCAACGUAUGUUUUAGCAAAGACCUUUUGUUAAAAAUCCAACACUUAUUUCUGGAAAGUGUAAAGGUUUUGCACAUCUCAGGGUAAUUCUUUGGAAAAUAACUCCAUUGUUCAGAAAUGCUGAAAUUUCAACAUUAUACUUUCAUAUUUGUCAGUGUAUUUUGCCUCUUGCUAUCAGAUUUGUAUUAAGAAAUAAGAACCAUUGUUCUAACUGAUACUUACUAAUGAAAAUCCAGUUAUAGUUUAACCUGAUGAUCAAACAAAACGUUAUGAGGAUUGAAACAUAUCAAAGUUUACACUUCGAGCCAUGUUUCCAUAUUUUUCUUCCAGUGAAAGGGGCAUUGUAUUGUGAAAGUGCAAUCAUAUUUGCAAAUCUGGUUCAGUUGUAUUUUGCAAAAUAAAUAUGUGGAAAAAAUAUGAA
rnacentral:misc_RNA from 1 species